UACAUUUCCCCCCCAAAUUUUAAAGCUAUGAAAUCAAAUUUGCAUCCCCAUGUUAUUUAAUCUACUCCAAGCAGGGCGUUUCCUUUAAGAACAUUGCCUGUCAGAACAUAUUUUUUCAAACAGUAGUGAGUAAUUUGCUUCAUUAUUGCAUGCCGUGUCACAUGAAAGAGUAAACUAUAAAAUAAUGUGUUGAGACGGUUUUUAACGUAUCGGUUGAGUAUAUGAUUCAGUGACUCGUUCAUAAGAUACUCGUCGCCUUAUUGGCAUACUGCGACAACGGCCACUGAACGAAUCCGAAAGAAUCUUUUUAGCGAACAAACUCAAAAGAAUCGAUUCGCUUAUGAAUCAAAAGAACCACCAGGUCACCUGUUAUUCGGUUAUAAUGAACGUCACGCGCUAGAUUCUGUACUAAGAAGGCUAUACUGAGUUCAUCAGGCAUUUCCUGGACUUCCUAGUUUCUUGGCCCAGUCCAGCUGUGAGUACACCUGCUCCGCUCGGAGAUUCAGCUCGCUUUCCCAUGACGGCUGGAGUCAAUUAACGGCUCAGAAAAACCACCGUGUUGAGGUGAAUUUAGAUGCAACUGUCUGCCGAGUGAAGGAAAAGAGCCCAGCGCUGCAGUGACAGCUGUCUUCACCGUGUGGGUUAGAAACAAGGGGAACGUGUUGUGAAUCACUCAUGGGAUUUGGCCCAGCAUUCCCGUAACGCUGGAAAAUAGGCUUAAAAAUGCUGUUUUUGGCAUGGAGCAGCAGAAACCAAAAUGUUUGAAAAAUGGCUUCCUCCUUAAAGUAGACGAUAAUCUCACGCCAAACGGUCAAUCUCUCCGUCUUCUAGCGUCAUCGGCUGCCUUUCUGGUUAGUCAUGUUUGUUUGCAUCUGUUUAUUCAUGUCUGGCUGUAGUUUGGUCUUCUUUCAUAGGGAGGGGGCUCUUGAGAACGAGAGGUGAAAGCAGGCUGCUAUCAGAUCCAGUCUGAAGUGGAUGUAUUUGGUUUCAUUUGUGUUUUGAGACUAGAGCAAGUCCAGACUUCCAGCUCUUAUCCAAAAUGAUAGCCGAGCAAUAAAUUUGACAGUUUUUUGAUGACUCGAUGGGAA
ensembl:lncRNA